AAAUAAAAUAUUAAAAAAACAAAAAAAUGGCCAGUUUGUGUGCAAUGGCUGCAAACAGCAGCCUCCUUGGUAAUGUGGUAGCCUGUUGAUUGUACAGGUUGCUUUAAGGAACCUUUGAGACAAUU
rnacentral:snoRNA from 1 species